UCUGUCUGAUUCAAUCCCUUCUUCCUACACUCCCUUCUCUUUCACUCCCUGGGAAUUCCUCUCCAAUGGACGGGUUGCCCAUGCUAUAAGUCACUAGUCUUUAUGUUAUACAUCUGUGUUUGCUUUAAGGGUCUGGAGGAAUUGAAGUUCACUUAAAGACGACGUGUGACGCUGUGGGACUUUCCACAGAGAAACACUGUAUAUUCAAAUCUUUUUGGGUGUAAGUUUAACAAAGGAAACUGCUCAAGACAUUCAUUUCACUUCUCCUAACAUCACGGCAUCCUGCUGAGAUAUAGGAUGUAUUAGAGGGGAUUGUGUCUGCUUUCUCACAAUUAAGGUCCACCACCUCAAACAUGCCUCCUGGACAUAGCCAGAGUAAAUAAAGGUAUCCUAAGAUAGGACCAACACCAAGUCUUGAAUCCAUCAAAUGAUGGAGGUCCCUGACUGGAAGGUUCACCUUUUGGAGAGGAGACGAAAAGAAGAAGACGAAUUAAAGAAAAGAGAAAGUGAAGAGGAGGAACGUCUUGCUAAAAUGCCAGCAUGGAAAAGAGAAAUUAUACUGAGGCGAAAGGCAAAGGCUGAAGCAACUGUAUUAGCAAUAAAAGCUGAGGUUGAUGGAGGAGAGCAGGAAGAGAGCACAAAAAUGGCGAGUGGAGUUCAAGAAGAAAAAGAGGUGUGUGUAUUAAGUGAGAAAAUUGGACCAGUUCAGCAGAAUCCAUUUAUUCAACAGGAGAAGCAGAGAAGGAUGCCUGUGUACUCCUGUUUGAGGAAAACUCUUCCAGAGACGCCCGUUUCGCGCACAGUUCGGACAGAUGAUAUGGUCCGAGGUUUGAAUGGCACCCAUAUGGAAGAGGAGCAGAAAGCUCCCAAAGAAGACAUAAAUUCAACGCCUGAUGAAGGCACAGGGAUUGUUAGCAGACUUUUAAGCCGAUUUGGACGUUCAUGGUCAGAAGGUGAAAAUGGUGGGUCAAGUGUGCCACUGGUAAAUGGGGAGUUAGAAAUGAUGUCUAAGACACUUUGUUCAGAUACUGUUAAAUCUGAUAGUCAAGCUUCUGCAAUGCUUGCUCAACAACCUCCUUCUCCUUCCUGCCACAGGGCUGCCACGGGAAACCAAACUUCAACUCAGGAAACUUCUCACUCAUCUCUCACUCCCCCAUACACAUCCACUUCCUGCACUGAAUCUGAAAUAGACGUGCUCUCACCCUGCAUGGCCUCCAUGGCCAAAAGUGGACUCUGUGCAAAGCUUAGUAUUAACGAAGAAGCCAAACCUUUUCCUUUUCAAUUACGUCCAUCUUCACCAGCUUCUUCUAGACAGAUAAAACAGACUAUUCAAUCUUCAGUAGCUCCUAACAGACCUGAAGUCUCCAAACAUGGCACAGGGCAAGUCAAAGAGGAUGGAGAAGGGGGCACAGCCCACAAUAAAGUUAUCUGCAGUCCCUUUGGCAACAAACAAGGGACAAUUGAAAGCCAAGCUAUGCAAAGGAGGAAAGGCAAUACAAUUACAGUUAACCCACGUAAAAUGGCUGGUUGUGAAAAUGGUUUUGUUGCCACAGAGACUAGGGCUCCAGUUCCUAAAACAGAUUCUGGUAAAAAGCGUUAUCCAACAGUUGAUGAGAUAAAAGUGAUUGGGGGCUACCAGGCUAUAGGCAGGUCCUGCUUGGCCAAGCACUCCCAUGACAAGAAAAAGUUAAAUAUCUCUUUCCCUGACUCUGAAUUGGAGAGUACAUUUGAGUAUCCCUCGGAGAGCUCCCUCUUAGCUGAAUUUGGACCCCCAGAUGAACCAGAAACGUUUGCAUCCCCUGCUCCUCAAACUGAAGAUGAUGAAGAAGAGGACAUUGUUUUGUUAGGAGGUAUCUUGAGAAGAAAAGCCCUUAUAGUGGGUAUUAGAUAGGUUUGGGGAGGCUUGGCCUCCCUAACCUUAAUGCAAAUCUGCCCAUGAUAGAUUCUAUGGUAGAUUCCGAUGAGUCCUGCAAACGUUGAGGGGAUUUCAGGAAUAAUCUUGGGAGCGCACAAGAAACCUGCGGAAUUUCCAUUCUUACAAAAAGGGCAUUAUUAUACAACAGAACCUGUUGCAACCUCACCAUGGUCUAAUUUACCAAUGAUUAUUGGUUAAACAGGACGGUAACAACUGAUAGCAGCUGGAGGAUAUUGUGUUAAACAUCUGAUGAGAAAAACAUAUUUUUGAAACUGAAUUAUGCUGAUUAGCAAAGGCCUACUGGAAAUGACAGUGAAACACUUACUGCUUUCCACUGCAUUAUUAAAGAUUACCAAGUUAAAUAGUACUUACUAAAGCAAUCUUUAUCAAUGUGGCCCUGCUUGCUGCAACACAGUUUGUUGGCAAUGGUAAUAUAUCUUACUAAAGAAGUUUAUUCACAUUUCUGUGUAAACUGAGAAAGCAAGCGACCGUAAUCUGUUCUCUAAUUCAUAAAAUUGGCACAGGUAGGGUUAGUUAGCUACUUCCAGUAUAUGCCCAGUUACUAGUGUAAUGUUUAAACAUGCAUAGAGCUGAAAAAUAGCUUCACCUACCUAAUUAGUCUUCCAUUGCUAAUGCUGGCUGCAUAUGCUGAGGUGCUGGAUAUCUGAACAAUGAUCUGGGUGCUCAUUAGAACAAUAAGGCCACACAAACGAAUGUAUAUUAAUCAAUCCCCUCUUUUUUUGCGUUUCUGUUCUGACCAAAACAUCCCUCAAAUCGUCACUGUAGGGUAUGUUUUUCCAUUCCACCCAAUCAGCAUUAGAUAGAUGACACCAGAGGAUGGGUUGUUUUAUUUUGUGAAAGGAGAUCUAAAUUGAACAAAUAUGUUGGUGUAAACGUAUUCAGUGUGACCCUCUGAGCACUUUUGUAGUGGUGUCUGAGAUAUAAGCUUUCAGCUCAACAUCUCUUAUUGCAGGCCCAGAGCGUCCGCAACCCUAACUGUCUAUGUACUUGCUGGAUUUGGAUAACCCUCUUGAUGCUGGCUCUCAUUUGAACCAAAGCCUGGUAAUAGUAGUCUAAAAAUGCAAAUAUCUCAUACCAAAAAUAGAAAAUGAAUGACAACUUCAAAAUGCUCAGAGAAGCACCUGGAGUAAGUUUACACCAAUUACACCCCUUUUAACACCCAUAAAUAAUUGUUGAUUCUUUUCACACACCUGAACAAGGAAUGUACACCAUUCCAUGUAAAAUAAAUUAUUGAUGAUUGCCCAUUAUUAAACCUGGUGGUAACAAACUGUUUUUGGCAUUGUUGCAAAUAGAACCAUUUACAUCUAUGGGGUUUAUCUUACACUGCACUAAUUAGUGAUGUGCGGGCCGACCUCGCACACUUCUUCGUGGGUUGCGGCUGGGUGCUCCUGCUCUCCCUGCCUGCCACCAUCAAAUGAUGGCUUCCAAUUUCCGGGUUCGUCUUUUAUAGACGCUGUGCCUGCUCGCCACACCCCUUUUGUGACAUCAUCUGUGGAGCGGUGCGGGUCUAUAAAAGCAACCCGGAAGUGCAGAUGCGGGCGGGUGCGGGCCAAGGGGGGCCGGGUUAGGGUCGAGUUUGGGUCAGAGAAAUCCCGACCCGCACAUCACUACCACUAAUGUAAAAUGGUAGUUGCCUUCCAAACACUUUUUAGCUAAUGGUUUUCAAAGAAUACACCCAAAACAAUGAUUUUCUCAAUACCCCCAGGCUGGGAUGACAUAAAAAUCAUACUAUUUGCUUACUCCUCAAUAGAGCUGGUUUCAUAGAAAAAAAAUGAUGUACUUGGCAAAAAUGUCCCUAGGAAAAAACUGGCUUUUUCUUUUAUUAGGUUUUCUAUGAUUUAAGUUUAACACCUUCAGGUGUUCCCCUGUCACAGCUAUGUAAGCCAGGUUUCCAUCUCCACUGUUGCACAUUUUUUGAUACAUUUUUUGAUACAUUUCUUGGCAGCAUUAAAGAAAAGUCAGCAAUGUGUCACUUGUAACAGUUGACUAUUGUAAAACUCAGGAAUUGUGCUCAGUAGGGCUGAAGUUAAAGGGAUACUGUCAUGGGAAAAAAUGUUUUUUUUUCAAAACGCAUCAUUUAAUAGUGCUGCUCCAGCAGAAUUCUGCACUGAAAUCCGUUUCUCAAAAGAGCAAACAAAUUUUUUUUAUA